rnacentral:rRNA from 1 species
AGACGAACCGUGCGAACGUUGUUCGGAAUCACUGGGCUUAAAGGGCGCGUAGGCGGUUUGCCAAGUCAGGGGUGAAAUCCUGCAGCUCAACUGUAGAAGUGCCUUUGAUACUGGUGAACUCGAGGGAGGUAGGGGUCGCUGGAACUUCUGGUGGAGCGGUGAAAUGCGUUGAUAUCAGAAGGAACGCCGGUGGCGAAAGCGAGCGACUGGAUCUCUUCUGACGCUGAGGCGCGAAAGCUAGGGGAGCAAACGG